GUCGCCGCGAGGCGUCGUGGGAAGGAAGCGGCAGGCAAAACGAUGACCUGAGGAACACGAACCGCAUAGGAGGCGGACGUUCGGCGGACGAGCGGGCAGAGAGACGCGAAGUCCGAAGCGACCCGGACCGGACGGACGUAGAUGCGGCGGGUUAUCGGGAAGGCCACACGU
rfam:Microbial mat metagenome hsmat10_BHWZ5594_b1, whole genome shotgun sequence.